rnacentral:lncRNA from 1 species
GUAAGAGUUCUUUGUAUAUUUUGGAUAACAAAUUCUUAUCAGAUAUGUCUUGCAAAUACUUCCUCCUAGUCUGUGGCUUGUCUUUGCGUUCUCUUGGCCAUGUCUUUCACAGAGGAGAAGUUUUAUUUAUUUGUUUAUUUAUUUUUAAUUAAUUAAUUAAUUUUUAAAUUGCAUUUUAGGUUUUGGGGUACAUGUGCAGAACAUGCAAGAUAGUUGCAUAGGUACACGCGUGGCAGUGAGAUUUGCUGCCUUCCUCCCCUUCACCCAUAUCUGGCAUUUCUCCCCAUACUAUCUCUCCCCAACUCUCCCCUCCACUGUCUCUCACCUAUUCCUCCCAAUAGACCCCAGUGUGUAGUGCUCCCCUCCCUGUGUCCAUGUGUUCUCAUUGUUCAUCACCUGCCUAUGAGUGAGAACAUGCGGUAUUUCAUUGUCUGUUCUUGUGUCAGUUUGCUGAGAAUGAUGUCCUCCAGAUUCAUCCAUGUCCCUACAAAGGACACGAACUCAUCAUUUUUGAUUGCUGCAUAAUAUUCCAUGGUGUAUAUGUGCCACAUUUUCCCAGUCCAGUCUAUCAUCGAUGGGCAUUUGGGUUGGUUCCAGGUCUUUGCUAUUGUAAACAGUGCUGCAAUGAACAUUUGUGUCCAUGUGUCCUUACAGUAGAAUGAUUUAUAGUCCUUUGGAUAUAUACCCAGUAAUGGGAUUGCUGGGUCAAAUGGAAUUUCUAUUUCUAGGUCUUUGCUAUUGUAAACAGUGCUGCAAUGAACAUUCGUGUACAUGUGUCCUUAUAGUAGAACGAUUUAUAGUUUUUUGGAUAUAUACCCAGUAAUGGGAUUGCUGGGUCAAAUGGAAUUUCUAUUUCUAAGGCCUUGAGGAAUCGCCACACUGUCUUCCACAAUGGUUGAACUAAUUUACACUCCCACCAACAGUGUCAAAGUGUUCCUUUUUCUCCACAUCCUCUCCAGCAUCUGUUGUCUCCAGAUGUUUUAAUGAUCACCAUUCUAACUGGCGUGAGAUGGUAUCUCAAUGUGGUUUUGAUUUGCAUCUCUCUGAUGACCAGU